rfam:Oryza punctata chromosome 2, whole genome shotgun sequence.
AUCCCAUGAUGAGGAUAGGCAGCAAUAUAUUCCUACAGCCUUUCCCAAGCUUUUGGGAUCGUCUCAUCUCUUGUCUGCUGGAAGCUAGAUAUUCUACCACGAAGGGC